GAUGAACGCUGGCGGCGUGCCUAAUACAUGCAAGUCGAACGAAACUUCUUUAUCACCGAGUGCUUGCACUCACCGAUAAAGAGUUGAGUGGCGAACGGGUGAGUAACACGUGGGCAACCUGCCCAAAAGAGGGGGAUAACACUUGGAAACAGGUGCUAAUACCGCAUAACCAUAGUUACCUCAUGGUAACUAUGUAAAAGGUGGCUAUACUACCGCUUUUGGAUGGGCCCGCGGCGCAUUAGCUAGUUGGUAGGGUAAAGGCUUACCAAGGCAAUGAUGCGUAGCCGAAUUGAGAGGUUGAUCGGCCACAUUGGGACUGAGACACGGCCCAAACUCCUACGGGAGGCAGCAGUAGGGAAUCUUCCACAAUGGGCGAAAGCCUGAUGGAGCAACGCCGCGUGGGUGAAGAAGGUCUUCGGAUCGUAAAACCCUGUUGUUAGAGAAGAAAGUGCGUGAGAGUAACUGUUCACGUUUCGACGGUAUCUAACCAGAAAGCCACGGCUAACUACGUG
rnacentral:rRNA from 1 species